rnacentral:rRNA from 1 species
GAUGAACGCUAGCGGGAGGCCUAACACAUGCCAGCCGAGCGGUAUUGUUUCUUCGGAAAUGAGAGAGCGGCGUACGGGUGCGUAACACGUGUGCAACCUGCCUUUAUCUGGGGGAUAGCCUCUCGAAAGGAAGAUUAAUACUCCAUAAUAUAUUGAACGGCAUCGUUUAAUAUUGAAAGCUCCGGCGGAUAGAGAUGGGCACGCGCAAGAUUAGCUAGUUGGUGAGGUAACGGCUCACCAAGGCGAUGAUCUUUAGGGGGCCUGAGAGGGUGAUCCCCCACACUGGUACUGAGACACGGACCAGACUCCUACGGGAGGCAGCAGUGAGGAAUAUUGGUCAAUGGGUGCAAGCCUGAACCAGCCAUCCCGCGUGAAGGACGACUGCCCUAUGGGUUGUAAACUUCUUUUGUAUAGGGAUAAACCUACCCUCGAGAGGGUAGCUGAAGGUACUAUACGAAUAAGCACCGGCUAACUCCGUG